rnacentral:rRNA from 1 species
CUACGGGGGGCACCAGUGAGGAAUAUUGCGCAAUGGGGGAAACCCUGACGCAGCGACGCCGCGUGGAUGAUGAAGGCCUUAGGGUCGUAAAAUCCUGUCAGGUGGGAAGAAGUGGAUAUAGAUUAAUACUCUAUUUCUUUGACGGUACCACCAAAGGAAGCACCGGCUAACUCCGUGCCAGCAGCCGCGGUAAUACGGAGGGUGCGAACGUUGUUCGGAAUUACUGGGCGUAAAGCGCGCGUAGGCGGUUUGUUCAGUCGGAUUGGAAAGGCCAUGGCUCAACUAUGGAAGUGCUUUUGAAGCUGGCAGACUUGAGUACUGGAGGGGGUGAUGGGAUUCCCGGUGUAGAGGUGAAAUUCGUAGAUAUCGGGAGGAACACCGGUGGCGAAGGCGAUCACCUGGCCAGAUGCUGACGCUGAGGUGCGAAAGCGUGGGGAGCAAACAGGAUUAGAUACCCGCGUAGUC